CACUCUCCUCAUCUCUGCCUCACUUCCUUCAAGAUUCAGCUUCAGCAGAACCUUCUGCAUGCAGCCUUUCUUGAUUUUCUCAACUGAUAAUGUCUUCUCUUUCCAGUGAUCAGCGUAGCAGCCGGCCAUGGGUCCGAGAGGAAUGGCUGCCUCAGGAGUGAGUUGCCGUUUUCUCGCCGUCGGUGCCAUCGUGAGCCCUGGAGCAGGAGAGCGCUUGGUCAUUUCUCAGAAUCUCGUUCCCUCUAGGAUCUCCAUUUUGAAGACAGUCCCUGGAUGGUCAUUUCUCUCCUGCCUGCAUUUCUGACUCUCACGGCUUGGCCACCUCAC